CAAGAUAUAAAAAGUAUGACAGGAAAUCUUGGCAAUCUAAGUUCUUGGAAAAGGUCAUGUCAGUCUUAAUAUCCCUGGCUAUGCUGAUAAGUGAAUGUAUUAAAGAGAAAGAGAGAGAGAAGGCUAUGGAGAUGGAGAGAGAGAGAGAGAGAGAGAGAGAGAGAGAGAGAGAGAGAGAGAGAGAGAGAGAGAUCCAGACUUGUUUUUUGCUUCUAUCAAUACCACUGUUUUGCUGCUCAAGCUAAAAGAAAGCCUCAUGAAAGAAUUAGUCUGACAUUCAAGGAUGAACACAGGAGGAAAAGCCCUAAUGCACCAUGAACGUUGAAUUGAUUUUGCACUGAUGUGUACUUCCAGUAUGAUGAUUGGUAUUUGUAAAAUAUAGAGUCUGUCCCCAAAUUGCUUACCUCAGUCACCUUCACAGAUCCUGGAAGUCAAAACCAGGGAAAAUGCUGAGAAGCCUAGGAAAAAGGGAAACAAAAGAAAGCAAAACAUAACAAUGACAAGAAUUACUCUGACAUCCACAGGAGGUGAGCAUUUUGCUCUCCUACACUCGGGAAAAAUGUUAUCUCAAUACAAAUAACAUAAUGCAGAGAAAGAACAUAUAUACAACAGAGAAAAUAAUGCCUCUUUCUACUGAUCCUUCAAUUACCUGGAGUGAGUCUCCAUUCUUGGGGAGUUAUCAUCAGGAAGCAUGGGAACAGUUCUAGCAAGCCAUUAUGCUGUCUUUUGUAGGAUUCUUCAAACUUUGAGUAACUUGGGAAUCUUUUGGCUUCCAGUUUCAAGAGAGAAGGUAGAAGAAUGUAACCACUUCAGGAUACUGAAGAAAAAGACUGAGAAGGAGAACAGAGGGGCCUCCAGUUCCAAUUACUUGCUUCCUGUCCUAGCAGUAAAGAUCUCCUUAGAAAAGGAUGAUUGGAGAAGAGCCCAGAGAUGCCUAUUUUUCCUUCCUUCAAAACAUACAACAACAGUUCUUACUAUAGAAGUAGGAAUUCAGCUCAAGGAGACAGAAAGCAUGGCACUUUUUAUAUUCAGAAGACCUGAGGCAAAAGCCUAUCCUGGCGCUCACCAUCUAUGUCUUCUUGGGUUAAACAACUCUAGUUCCUUCAAAAAUGGAAUGCACUACAGUUCUCUCACCACCUACAGGGCCCCAUUCAAUAUGUUUUCUAAUUCUCCAAUGUUCUUCCUAAUAUACAGGGCUUAGAAAAGCAUGCAAUAUUCUAGAUGUGGUUUGGAGGACAAAAGCAUAUGAUACUAUCAUCUCUUUUGCUCUGAAUACUUUCACCUAGCCAUGAUUUCCUCAGCCUAUAUUUUUGUAAUGGACAUGAUUGAAUGAGAGAGACUUGUGGGCAAAUUUCAACAAUAUUUCCAUUUCUUCCGCUAUAAAAUUAGGAUGACAACCAUAUAAAAUUUUCAUAGGAAAUAAGUUUAAAUAAAUCAAUCACCAAACAUUUUUGAGGAUCA
rnacentral:lncRNA from 1 species